GUCCACGCUGUAAACGUUGUGCACUAGGUGUGGGAGGUGUUUACCCCUUCCGUGCCGCAGCUAACGCGUUAAGUGCACCGCCUGGGGAGUACGGUCGCAAGACUGAAACUCAAAGGAAUUGACGGGGGCCCCGCACAAGCGGUGGAGCAUGUGGUUUAAUUCGAGGCAACGCGAAGAACCUUACCCAGGCUUGACAUCCCAGGACCGCCCAUGAAAGUGGGUUUUCUCUUCGGAGACCUGGAGACAGGUGUUGCAUGGCUGUCGU
rnacentral:rRNA from 1 species